rnacentral:rRNA from 1 species
UAACGGCGAGUGAAGCGGUAACAGCUCAAAUUUGAAAUCUGGCCCCCUCGGGGCCCUAGUUGUUUUAGAAGAUGAUGCUUUGGGUGUGGGCCCGGCCUAUGUUCCUUGGAACAGGACGUCGAAGAGGGUGAGAAUCCCUUAUGCUGCUGGUGCCCUCGCCCGUGUAAAGCUCUUUCGACGAGUCGAGUUGUUUGGGAAUGCAUCUCUAAAUGGGGGGUAAAUUUCAUCUAAAGCUAAAUAUUGGCCAGAGACCGAUAGCGCACAAGUAGAGUGAUCGAAAGAUGAAAAGCUCUUUGGAAAGAGAGUUAAACAGUACGUGAAAUUGUUGAAAGGGAAGCUCUGGCAACCAGACUUGGGCGCUGCUGAUCCGCGGGGGUUCUCCCCCGGGCACUCGGCAGCGCGCAGGCCAGCAUCGGUUUGGGUGGCUGGAGAAAGGCUGGUGGAAUGUAUCUGCCCUCGGGCAGUGUUAUAGCCACCGGUGUCAUGCAGCCCACCCGGACCGAGGACCGCGCUUCGGCUAGGAUGCUGGCGUAAUGGUUGUCAGCGACCCGUCUUGAAACACGGACCAAGGAGUCUAACAUCUAUGCGAGUGUUUGGGUGCCAAACCCAUGCGCGGAAUGAAAGUGAACGU